rnacentral:rRNA from 3 species
UAGGGAAUAUUGGACAAUGGGGGCAACCCUGAUCCAGGCAUGCCGCGUGUGUGAAGAAGGCCUUAGGGUUGUAAAGCACUUUAAGUGAGGAAGAAAAGAUUUAAAUUAAUACUUUAAGUCCCUGACAUUACUCACAGAAUAAGGACCGGCUAACUCCGUGCCAGCAGCCGCGGUAAUACGGAGGGUCCAAGCGUUAAUCGGAAUUACUGGGCGUAAAGCGCGCGUAGAUGGUUUAUUCAGUUGGGUGUGAAAUCCCUGGGCUCAACCUAGGAACUGCAUUCAAAACUUAUAAACUAGAGUACGAAAGAGGAGAGUAGAAUUCAUGGUGUAGCGGUGAAAUGCGUAGAGAUCAUGAGGAAUACCAGUGGCGAAGGCGACUCUCUGGUUCGAGACUGACAUUGAGGUGCGAAAGCGUGGGUAGCAAACAGG